GCCUCGGUAGUCUAAAGGCUUAGGACGCUCGCACGGAAUGCGAGAGAUCCGGGUUCAACUCCCGGCCGAGGUA
rnacentral:tRNA from 1 species